GGGGGCGAAACGGAUUCGACGGGGAUAUUGAAGCUUGUUGUUGCAUGCCGAGUUUCUGUCAGCUCGUAAAAUUGGCGGAAUUAAAUAUAAUCGCAGACGAUUAUAAUUACGCACUGGCAGCUUAACCUGCCAUGCCGUUCCACCGGCUUUCGCCUGUAAGGCCGGAUUCGGAGCGUCGACUUCUCAGGCUGGUUGUCCGUGAACGCCUGGGGCACGGAUGACGAGAUUUUUCAGGCUGGCAACCGACUAUCCCUGUUCCGGGUGAGAAGCGGAUGCGAGAUUUAAUCCCGGAACUACGCAUGUAGAGACACGAGGGGAGAAUUUUCGGACCCGGGUUCAACUCCCGGCGCCUCCACCA
rnacentral:tmRNA from 1 species